rnacentral:rRNA from 1 species
UACGGAAGGUCCGGGCGUUAUCCGGAUUUAUUGGGUUUAAAGGGAGCGUAGGCUGGAGAUUAAGUGUGUUGUGAAAUGUAGACGCUCAACGUCUGACUUGCAGCGCAUACUGGUUUCCUUGAGUACGCACAACGUUGGCGGAAUUCGUCGUGUAGCGGUGAAAUGCUUAGAUAUGACGAAGAACUCCGAUUGCGAAGGCAGCUGACGGGAGCGCAACUGACGCUGAAGCUCGAAGGUGCGGGUAUCGAACAGG